rnacentral:rRNA from 1 species
UACGUGAGGGUGCGAGCGUUAAUCGGAGUUACUGGGCGUAAAGCGCGCGCAGGCGGCGGUGCUGGCCCGGCGUGAAAGCCCCCCGGCUCAACCGGGGGAGGGUCGUCGGGGACCGCACCGCUUGAGGGCGGUAGGGGCUGGUGGAAUGCCUGGUGUAGUGGUGAAAUGCGUAGAGAUCAAGCGGAACACCUGGGGGCGAAGGCGGCCAGCUGGGGCCGUCCCUGACGCUGAGGCGCGAAGGCGUGGGGAGCGAACGGG